GAUGAACGCUGGCGGCGUGCUUAACACAUGCAAGUCGAACGAAGCAUUUUAACUUGAUUUCUUCGGAAUGAUUGUUACUUUGACUGAGUGGCGGACGGGUGAGUAACGCGUGGGUAACCUGCCUCAUACAGGGGGAUAACAGUUAGAAAUGACUGCUAAUACCGCAUAAACCCACAGUACCGCAUGGUGCAGUGUGAAAAACUCCGGUGGUAUGAGAUGGACCCGCGUCUGAUUAGCUAGUUGGUGGGGUAACGGCCUACCAAGGCGACGAUCAGUAGCCGACCUGAGAGGGUGACCGGCCACAUUGGGACUGAGACACGGCCCAAACUCCUACGGGAGGCAGCAGUGGGGAAUAUUGCACAAUGGGCGAAAGCCUGAUGCAGCGACGCCGCGUGAAUGAAGAAGUAUUUCGGUAUGUAAAGUUCUAUCAGCAGGGAAGAUAAUGACGGUACCUGACUAAGAAGCACCGGCUAAAUACGUGCCAGCAGCCGCGGUAAGAC
rnacentral:rRNA from 1 species